AAGGAGGAAGAUAGAAAAAAGACAUGGAGAAGUCAAAGAAAGGAUAAAAGUCUAUAGUGCAUGGAGUUAAGUUAGAUGAUGUUGCUCGGUUACUGAAUCGUGCUCGCAACUACUCAGCUGUGUGCUUACAUGGCUUAUAUCAGCCGAGAAUAUAAGAAAAGGUAAUACGUUUUAUUUCUUCUUUGAAGUGCAUGUCUCUCUAUCUUUAUUAGUUAAGUAGAUACUCAUAAGCAAGAAAAACGUAUAUUGAGUUUUCUGGUCCUUCCCGAAAAGUAUGGAGAAUGAGAUGUUAGGUGAAGCUUUUAAGAAGCUUCAGAACCCAUAUGAGAUAGUGAUUGUGGUUCAUCAUUUGUAUCGGCGCAUCAAGUUCAUCCAUCUCUGAUCUGCCUAGCUGUUUCUAUUGGGGGUAAGUCUUGAUAUUUGUUUGUUUUUUUCCAUUCACAAGAGAAUAGUUGAGUUUGCGAAGUGAUCCUUUUGAUGAUUGCACUCAGAAGGACUUAAACAAGCCACUGAUUAUUGCAGCCAAAACCAACAUGGAGGUGUUGUUAGAGGUGGUUGAGGAAGAGGCCAAGCUGGUGGUGGCAAAGCCGCAAAGACAAUAAAGAUAACAAAAACUGAAGGUUUUCUACAUUUGUGGAUCAUCGGGUGAACACGCUCCUGUCUCUAGGAGCAUCCGGAGCUAAAUCCUUUGUUGCUCAGAUUUGUGCAAUGAUCUUUUUUGUAAUUCAGUGGCUACAUGAGAGUUGUUUCUGAUUGACUCAGAGUUUAGAGUCUACAACGAGUGUACGGUAGGAGACGGUAAUGAUGAUAGAGCUGAAUGAUAGCGGUGAAUGACUGACUCAUCACACGAUCGGGAAGAAGCAUAAGCUGGAGGCGAACGGUGAAGACGGACCAGUUAUUUUUUUAUGCAAGGAAGACAGGAAUGAUUCCAUCUCCAUCAGUAACUUAAUUCUCUUCACACUCAAGAUGGUGUGGUUACAGUUCUCUGUUCUCUCGACUCUUGAGUUGUUAGUUGUUUAUCUAAUGGUAAGAUAUUUUCUCUGUAUGUAAACUUGAUCGUCCACGAAUUAACCCUCAUGUAUUUUGGUUUCUAUUUGUCAGAACAGAGUAUGUCGAUGAUUUUAGCCCAUAAAAGUUGUCAGUAAAUUGACUUGA